AGAGGAAGAGAUAAGGGAGGAGAAGUGGGUGGUUUGAGUAAUUUUCUGGCAGCUUGACGAAAACUUCGUUAGGCUCUGGAAUGGCUUGCCAGAAGAGAAGAUGGGAAGAGAUGGAGGAAUAUGGCUCAAAAUUGAAGAGUUCCAGGGAUGAGAGAUGAUGCUUGCUUUAUCUGGAUGUGGGUUAGAUGACGGGUAAAAGAUGCCCAUUUUUAUAGGCGCUGGAAGCUCAUUCUUCCCAAGAAACCCUAGCAAGUUUCUCCCCAAUUAGCCAAGUCUCCCCCUUAAUUUCUCUUCUCUUCCUUUGACUCAUCCCCAUUUGGUGAAAUCUUCCUUAGCCCAAACACACAGGAACAAGAUUUUUGGAGGCUCUAGAGCCUUCCAGCAAUUUUCCCUGUGACAUCUCUUAUUUUGGGAUGCCCUUUCUCUUUCUUUUCUCCUUAAUUUUAUGAUAAUAGCUG
rnacentral:lncRNA from 1 species